GUGGUGUGCCCAAGGCCCAGGAGACCAAGGCUAAGGCCAAGGUCCAUCAUUCAUGAGGGCUUCAUGGAGGCUCUAGGGCUAGUUGGGCCCUAGGUUGAAAGGUUGUGGGCCUUUCGGGUUCUUGAGGUCUAGGUUAUGUGGGCCUCAAGGGACCAACUCUUUAUGGGCCAGGUCUGGGCCCAGGAUAGGUGAGAUUAGGUCGAGUCAUGGG
rnacentral:lncRNA from 1 species